rnacentral:tRNA from 1 species
GCCUCCCAUAGUUCAGUGGUAGAGUGUCCGACCGGUGUGCGAAGUUUAUAGGUUUGACUCCUGUUGGAGGCC